rnacentral:rRNA from 1 species
CCCUUAGAUGUCCUGGGCCGCACGCGCGUUACACUGAUGCAUUCAACGAGCUUAUAACCUUGGCCGAGAGGCCUGGGCAAUCUUGUUAACGUGCAUCGUGAUAGGGAUAGAUUAUUGAAAUUAUUAAUCUUGAACGAGGAAUUCCUAGUAAACGCAGAUCAUCAAUCUGCAUUGAUUACGUCCCUGCCCUUUGUACACACCGCCCGUCGCACCUACCGAUUGAAUGGUUUAGUGAGAUCUCUGGAUUGACGCUGGCUAGGGGGCGACCCUUGGCCAGGCUGUCGAGAAACUGCUCAAACUUGAUCAUUUAGAGGAAGUAAAAGUCGUAACA